AACGAACGCUGGCGGCGCGUCUUAAACAUGCAAGUCGAACGGCAGGAAGGGGCUUGCCCCUUCUGAGAGUGGCGGACUGGUGAGUAACACGUGGGUGACAUACCUUUUAGUUGGGGAUAGCUAUUAGAAAUAGUAGGUAAUACCGAAUGUGACCGUACCUGUUAGAGGGGUACGAGGAAAGGAGCUAAGGCUUCGCUAAAAGAAUGGCUCGCGGCCCAUUAUGCUCGUUGGUGAGGUAACGGCCCACCAAGGCGAUGAUGGGUAUCCGGCCUGAGAGGGUGAACGGACACAUUGGGACUGAGAUACGGCCCAGACUUCUACGGGAGGCAGCAGUUAAGAAUAUUCCGCAAUGGACGAAAGUCUGACGGAGUGACGCCGCGUGGAUGAAGAAUGCCGAAAGGUUGUAAAAUCCUUUUAAGCCUGAUGAAUAAGCACAGUAGGGAAUGAUUGUGCGGUGACCGUAGGGCUUGAAUAAGCACCGGCUAAUUACGUG
rnacentral:rRNA from 1 species